UGGUAAAAAUUCUUUUUUAUUUCUCACAAAUGACUGAAAUUGUUAUCAAAACACAAUAUACGUGUUAGCUAACUUUAAAAUACAAGACUGCAAUAAAUACAAAACUGUACUUAAACAUACGGUAUUACGACGAAUUAUUUAUUGGCAAAAUAUUCACCUCACCUACUUUGAUUUGCAAUAUUUAAAAUAAAAUAAAAAAUUAAACUUAACAAUGUUUUUUAAGAUAGCGAACUUUAAAAGUGAUGAUCUCAAAAAAUAUACCUACUAGGUAUACUUUAUCGCAAAAAUAAAUUUCAUUUUUUGUAAAAUAAAUUAGCUUAACUCUUUGAAAACUAAUAUGUAGGCAUGGAGUCUACUCUAUACUAGUUAACAAAAUAUUAGAGAAAACAUUACUUAAAAUGGCAUGCGCCGGUAACCAUAGCUUCCCACGGGAGGCCGUAGUAGAUACGGCUAUUUUGCAAAUAAAGUUUAUCCUAGGAAGGGAUAUAAGUUUUUUCCGAUAAAUAGUUCGGAGUAAUACCUUAUGAGCUUAUUAAUUUAACACAUUCAGAUUCGCGGAUUAAGUUUCAUAAAGACAUUACGAAUCAUACAAAUGUUGCAUAAAUAUUUAAUUAUGUAGUAGGUACUUAAACUAAGAAUAGUUUAAUUAUAAGCAGAAUAAAUAAUUAAUUAAUUAUUAUUUAUUGUAAAGCAUGAUUACUUGAUUACAUAUUUCAUCGGUAACAUCAAUAAGUGUUAAGCUAAUAACAUGAAACAUACUAAGAAAUUCGUUGUAAAUAUAGUACUAAGUAUUUAUCAAAAUGGUCUAUUACAAUAUUAAAAUAGUUGAAAAAGCGGUUAUUUUAUUUACUAGAACUAAAUCUAUAGCCUGAAUGCGACUUAAACUUAGAUAAUUUAUAUUUAAAGAGCAGUUUGAUAAAUCGGGAAUAUUGAUAAUUCGAUAAGCUUAUGCAAAUUACUUAGCUGAAUCGCUAAAUCUGGUUUAUUUUUUGUACCGAUGCCAACAAUAUUUUAAUUAAUAAACGAGAUUUAGCGGGUUCUUGCCAGUGGAUAUACAUUUUAUUAUACAUUUUUAAAAAUUGCUAAAAUAGUAAAAUUGAUAUACCGCGGUAUCUGAAUGUGUUUUAAUAAAUAGUGAUGAAUAAAUAUUAGCUGUUGAUAGUACUAUU